rnacentral:snRNA from 1 species
GGAGUUAGAACUUAUUUAC